GACCCCGCACAAGCGGUGGAUCAUGUUGUUUAAUUCGACGAUACGCGAAGAACCUUACCAGGUCUUGACAUCCCCUGCAAAGCUAUGGAGACAUAGUGGAGGUUAUCAGGGAGACAGGUGGUGCAUGGUUGUCGUCAGCUCGUGUCGUGAGAUGUUGGGUUAAGUCCCGCAACGAGCGCAACCCUUAUUGCUAGUUACCAUCAUUAAGUUGGGGACUCUAGCGAGACUGCCAGUGAUAAACUGGAGGAAGGUGGGGAUGACGUCAAAUCAUCAUGCCCCUUAUGACCUGGGCUACAAACGUGAUACAAUGGCUGAAACAAAGGGCAGCGAAGGAGCGAUCUGGAGCGAAACCCAAAAAAGCAGUCUCAGUUCGGAUUGAAGUCUGCAACUCGACUUCAUGAAGUCGGAAUCGCUAGUAAUCGCGGAUCAGAACGCCGCGGUGAAUACGUUCUCGGGGUUU
rnacentral:rRNA from 1 species